rnacentral:ncRNA from 1 species
GGUGGCCCCUCGGAGUCGCUAUACAGAGGUAGAGGCUUCAAAUCACCUUAAGGUGCUGUUGUCAAAAGCAAUGGUAUUGAGCGUUAAGGAAAAGGCAAAAUAAAAGAUUUUAUCAG